rnacentral:rRNA from 1 species
AAUGAACGCUGGCGGCAGGCCUAACACAUGCAAGUCGAACGGAUCCUUCGGGAUUAGUGGCGGACGGGUGAGUAACGCGUGGGAACAUACCCUUUGGUACGGAAUAGCCUCGGGAAACUGGGAGUAAUACCGUAUGUGGUCGAGAGACGAAAGAUUUAUCGCCAAAGAAUUGGCCCGCGUUGGAUUGGGUAGUUGGUGGGGUAAUGGCCUACCAAGCCGACGAUCCAUAGCUGGUUUGAGAGGAUGAUCAGCCACACUGGGACUGAGACACGGCCCAGACUCCUACGGGAGGCAGCAGUGGGGAAUCUUAGACAAUGGGGGAAACCCUGAUCUAGCCAUGCCGCGUGAUCGAUGAAGGCCUUAGGGUUGUAAAGAUCUUUCAGGUGGGAAGAUAAUGACUGUACCACCAGAAGAAGCCCCAGCUAACUCCGUGCCAGCCGCCGCGGUAA